UCCUUGAUAGCAAGAGGGAUUGGAGCCCC
rnacentral:sRNA from 1 species